AUUGAACGCUGGCGGCAGGCCUAACACAUGCAAGUCGAACGGUAACAGGAAGAAGCUUGCUUCUUUGCUGACGAGUGGCGGACGGGUGAGUAAUGUCUGGGAAACCGCCUGAUGGAGGGGGAUAACUACUGGAAACGGUAGCUAAUACCGCAUAACGUCGCAAGACCAAAAGAGGGGGACCUUCGGGCCUCUUGCCAUCGGAUGUGCCCAGAUGGGAUUAGCUAGUAGGUGGGGUAACGGCUCACCUAGGCGACGAUCCCUAGCUGGUCUGAGAGGAUGACCAGCCACACUGGAACUGAGACACGGUCCAGACUCCUACGGGAGGCAGCAGUGGGGAAUAUUGCACAAUGGGCGCAAGCCUGAUGCAGCCAUGCCGCGUGUAAUGGAAGAAGGCCUCGGUUGUAAAGUAC
rnacentral:rRNA from 1 species